UACGUAGGGAGCAAGCGUUGUCCGGAAUCAUUGGGCGUAAAGCGCGCGUAGGCGGUCUGUUGCGUCAGGAGUGAAAACUCGGGGCUUAACCCCGAGCCUGCUUCUGAUACGGGCAGACUAGAGGUAUGCAGGGGAGAACGGAAUUCCUGGUGUAGCGGUGAAAUGCGCAGAUAUCAGGAGGAACACCGGUGGCGAAGGCGGUUCUCUGGGCAUUACCUGACGCUGAGGAGCGAAAGUGUGGGGAGCGAACAGG
rnacentral:rRNA from 1 species